rnacentral:rRNA from 1 species
UACGGAGGGUGCAAGCGUUAUCCGGAUUCACUGGGUUUAAAGGGUGCGUAGGUGGGGUGGUAAGUCAGUGGUGAAAUCUCCAGGCUUAACUUGGAAACUGCCAUUGAUACUAUCAUUCUUGAAUAACGUGGAGAUGAGCGGAAUAUGUCAUGUAGCGGUGAAAUGCUUAGAUAUGACAUAGAACACCAAUUGCGAAGGCAGCUCGUUACACGAAUAUUGACACUCAGGCACGAAAGCGUGGGGAUCAAACAGG